rnacentral:rRNA from 1 species
UACGUAGGUCGCAAGCGUUGUCCGGAUUUACUGGGCGUAAAGAGCGCGCAGGCGGCUGGUCAAGUCCGAUGUGAAAUCUCCCGGCUUAACUGGGAAACUGCAUCGGAAACUGAUCGGCUUGAGGGCGGGAGAGGUCGGUGGAAUUCCCGGUGUAGUGGUGAAAUGCGUAGAGAUCGGGAGGAACACCUGUGGCGAAGGCGGCCGACUGGGCCGACCCUGACGCUGAGGCGCGAAGGCGUGGGGAGCGAACGGG